CAUCCGAGCUUCUACAAUGAGCGAUCUCCAUCCAGCCUUCCACGGCAACCGAUCUUCGUCCGAACUUCUACAAUAAGCGGCCUCCUUCCAGACUCCUACAAGAACCGGACUCCAUCCGAACUUCUACAAUAGAAUUGAAUUCCAGACUCCUCCAUCAGUCGACCUUUCAUAGUAUCCUCAAGACUCCUCCAGCAGACGAACUUCCAUAAUGCUUUUUGAACUCCACUAUCGGUCAACCUUCUGCUAGAUUCCUCAUGAAACCAGACCUCUCUAGCGAAUAGUCUUCAGACGAGCUUCUACAUCAGAUAAAUUUCAGACGGACUUCUCUAGCAAUUGGACUCCUGCCAGACUUCUCCAACAGAAAGUUCUCGCCCGAGCUUCUACAGUAGAUGACUUCUGUCUACAGCAUCGACGCCUAAGGCACCCAACAACAGUUAACCUGUCAACAAUCUCGAAAACAUCUGAGC
rnacentral:lncRNA from 1 species